rnacentral:misc_RNA from 1 species
UUUGCAUAUGAACUCAUCGCAUGCAAACUACAUCCAUUUUGUUUUUGCUCAGGAAGAACAAGAUUCGUGGACUAAACAACCAAAUUAGAUCUAUUCAGUUCCGAGCAGACAUGACAAACCUUCUCCAAGAAACAGUACAGUAUGCUUGCAAUCACUGCAUUACAUUAUUGGUUGGACUCCUUAUCGUUCUGUUUUACCGGUUCUGUGUUGCACCGUUCACUGUGUUCAAGAAACUUGGAAUCAGUGGACCAACACCUCUUCCAUUUUUUGGUAACUCCAUACAGAACCGCCUUAAUCCAAACAUCAUCCCAAAGUGUCAAAUGGAAUGGUCUGAUAAAUAUGGAAAGAUAUUUGGAGUUUAUGUCUUUCGUCAGCCAUUUCUGGUGAUUGCUGAUCUAGAUAUGAUAAAAGAGAUCUUUGUCAAAGAAUUCCCGAAAUUUCAUGAUCGAAAGAAAUUGAUGAAGGACCUUAAGAAGCCAUAUGACAGAAUGUUAACAAUCGUAAGUGGUCAGAAGUGGAAGGAUAUCAGAUCUACUUUGACGCCAACUUUCAGUGCAGCUAAGAUGAAGCAGAUGAUGCCCUUUAUGAAUGAAGCGAUCAGCAUUUUAAUGCAGAAAGUGGACAGAAUUUCCAAAACAGGAGAGAUCGUUGAUUUUCAUAGGUGGCUCCAGAGUCUUACCAUGGAAGUGAUUUUGUCAACAGCAUUUGGAGUCAAAGCAGAAACACAAACUGUUGAAAAUGAUCCAAUCACUGAAUUAGCAAAGAAGGCCAUGGCUCCACACCCCUUGGUUGGAUUACUGUUCCUGUUACCAUUUGGAGAACACAUAAUGAAUAGCCUCCAGGAUCCGUUUGAUUUCGAAAAAAUCCUUGCCAUAUCGGCCGAUAUCAUCGCUGAAAGGACUGCCGGAAAGGACAGUACUAACGCACCUCGAAAAGACUUACUGCAACUGAUGCUGGAUGCCAAGGAAGAAACAGGAGGAGAGAAAAUUGACUAUGACGAUAUUAAGGCACAAUGUCUCACUUUCCUUCUUGCUGGAUAUGACACAUCCAGUACUACUCUUGCUUUCCUUUGCUAUGAACUCGCUCUUCACACGGACGUGCAAGAUAAACUGAGGGACGAGAUUGACCGUAUGUGGCCCGAAGAUGAGGAAUCUCCAUCUUAUGACUCCCUCCAUAACAUGCAAUACCUUGAAAUGGUUAUUAACGAAGCAGUUAGGAAGUACCCACCAGGAUUUAUGGUACGUUUACUUCCAGAAUGUAACCUGCAUAUGGUAAAUGUUUGACCUGAUGGGUGUGCAAGGCAAAGUAUUCUUGAUAUUGGUUGUAAAGGAAGAACAAGACUUCAGAGAGAUUGCAUGGAGGCCUGCACUAUAAAAGGACUGCAUAUCCCGAAAGGAUUGCCGGUUAUGAUUCCGUG